AUUGAACGCUAGCGGGAUGCUUUACACAUGCAAGUCGAACGGCAGCACGAAAAGAGCUUGCUCUUUUUGGUGGCGAGUGGCGAACGGGUGAGUAAUGUAUCGGAACGUACCCAGUAGCGGGGGAUAACUACGCGAAAGCGUGGCUAAUACCGCAUACGCCCUACGGGGGAAAGGGGGGGAUCGCAAAACCUCUCACUAUUGGAGCGGCCGAUAUCGGAUUAGCUAGUUGGUGGGGUAAAGGCUCACCAAGGCAACGAUCCGUAGCUGGUUUGAGAGGACGACCAGCCACACUGGGACUGAGACACGGCCCAGACUCCUACGGGAGGCAGCAGUGGGGAAUUUUGGACAAUGGGGGAAACCCUGAUCCAGCCAUCCCGCGUGUGCGAUGAAGGCCUUCGGGUUGUAAAGCACUUUUGGCAGGGAAGAAACGGCGCUGACUAAUACUUGGCGCAACUGACGGUACCUGCAGAAUAAGCACCGGCUAACUACGUG
rnacentral:rRNA from 1 species